AGACGGGAAAUCUGUCCUGUCAGUGGCCGGCUGCGAGUUUUGUCUAUACUGGAGUCGGACACUCCCUCUGAGACACAGCUGCUAUAAGGUUCCUCUCACGCUCUGAACGGAGGAGAUACAGAGAGAGAAAGCCGUCCGAUCACCCAGGUAAGAGGCCAGUGUCACACUUCUGAACUUUGAAUAACAUCUGCAUGUGGUUUCUCCACUCUCCGCUGUUGCUGUCUAAGUUUCCAAGGCGUUUUGCACUAAAAAAAAAAAAAAAAAACACCCCUUGUUCAGCACUUUGGAGGUUUGUGGUGUAGUUGGUGAUGGUCGGACGGACUUUUUGAGUGAUCCACUUGAGCGUCCAGAGGAAAGGUCAUCCGUAAAUAGUUUCUUUGAAUGGGCCGUCUGAGCGACUGUGCGACAUCUGUCAGCCAGACAUGAGCUCGGGGCGGCGUGAAGCGGAGGUCAUAAAAACGCUCUCAAAACAAGGAGUGCGAGGAUGAGGCUGUGGAGAAAAGCUCAAACAUUCUUCUCAUUGUUCUCAAGUCUCGAAAGACCGUGCCAGACGCUGCACAGCCAAAACAACAUCCAGAGGAAGGCGAAGGACAAAAAAAAAGUGUGGCAAAACCAGAAAGGCCAAGCCGGGAGUAUUAGACGAGGUGUGCAAGCUGGAGCGCUAGAUCACAAGAGAGCGAAAGCGGCCGGAGGAAGCCCAGUCUCUCAGACGCUAGAAGAAGGAGGGGCCAGCUGCAGUGACCACGGACUACAUGACAAAAAAUGAGAGCCCUUCUGUAUGAUAUGAAAGGACAGAUGUAGAAAUGUAGGACCCCACCUCAGCCAGAAUGACUCAAGCCCAGACCCUCCUCUUCUGCCAGCCAGGGGAAUUCCUGGCAGAGUGAUUUUUAAACCUAAUGACUGAAUCACAUUGCCAGGGAUUUCCAAUGGCUCGUGUGAGGGACUCGACGCGGAGACUGCAGACACGGCAGAUAUAUGCAUUGCAAACACACACACCUAAACACACGAGACCCUAAUCCUGAAGGAAUGCAGACCGUCUCAUACAUGAGUUAGUGGUGACAGAAGUCCCAACUGACGUGCAUUUCUUUGCUGGUUGUGUGGUGUCAGGACUUAACCCACUUGUGAACACUGCAUUGAACUUCUUUGUUCACAGUGGUUAAGUUCUGCCAUCCUGAGACCCAUAUCAGCAAAAGGGAAGUUAAAGCCAAUUGUGCCCUCAAACUAAAUGCAUGCACACUGAGUACUGUGACAUGAUAUUCUCGUUAAUGUACCUGAAAAACUGCAUUAAAGAUGCACUAGAGACUUAUUCUAGGUUUGACUCUUCUUGCUGUCGUCAGUCUCAAGAUGUUGUGACAGGCCUGUUUUAUCUCGUCAGAAGUAAUCUUCAUCUCAGGUGUUUAGCACGAUAUGUAACAAAUGAGCCGUAGCCUGGGAAUAAAAAAACUUGGAUAAACA
ensembl:lncRNA